AGGUGAGUACACAGUGAGAAGAUGGCCAACUAUAAGCCAGGAAACAGGCCUCCAUCAACAAGGAAUCUGCCGGCAACUUGAUCUUGGACUUCCCAGCCUCCAGGAUUGAAGAAAAAUAUGUUGCAAACAUGGAGGAAAGAUGAUGGCCUCCUUCAACAGAACUGUGAGUUGUCCAAGAUUUCACAAAGUUCUUCAAGCAUGGCAUUUGAUGAUGAGCCCUAAGAUGACUUGAGCCUCACGUCAACUCUCUUUGCUACACACCCCUCUUUGGAGACCACCACUUCAUGCAAUGGGGAGUGACAUUAGGGCUGAACUUUAAGAAAGAGAACUCUGACAGCAAUGAGAAGACAGAAAAAGAGAAUGACCAGAUAUCCAAAAUGGGAUCGUAGCAUCGAACAUGAGAAGGCCAUGCAUAAGAUGGGGUAGGUCCAAUCAACAAAAUUUGAAAAAAGGUCAGCUUUGGAGUGGUCUGAAAAGGGAGACAAAGGAGGAGACAGAAUUCUGGAUGAUUUCACGGUAACAAUCCUGAGUGACCUGGAGGAUAUAAUAGUAUUAACUAAAAAGGAAAAUGCACAAGACAGCAAUUUGAGGGAAGGACAUUUAGAUGAAGAGAUCCUUGAGAAAUACAUGCAUUUAAAAGACAAGUGGGAGAGAAACUAAUGAAGGAGCUGAAAAUGGCCAAUGACACUGGAAAAGAACGACGACAGUAAAGUGUCCUAGUAGCCAAGGGAAGAGAGAAAGCACUUUUUAAAGGAUGAGAUGAUCACUUGUGUCAACUUCUGUCAAUAAUUAAAGGAGACAAGGGACAAGAUGACAUCCGUGGAUAUGGCAAAUAGUCAAUAAUAAUGAAAGCUAGCAUCACAUCUGCUGCAUGCUUGUCACAUGCCAAGCACACCACUUCAAGAGUUGUACAAUUUACAAUGUGGACGUGGAGGAAGAAAACUAAAGAAGGGCAACAGAGAGAGCCUUGCACCAAGACCACAACCACUCCAGGGGGUGGGAUUAUAUCCAUUCCACACAGGAGGAAUCGGAAGCUUUGGGAGCUGACGUAAAACUGGUAAACGGUGAAACCAGGAUUCAAACCCAAUUCUACCUGGCUGCCAAAACCACACAUUGCUUUCCCCAGUUCACAGGCUAUCACAGCAUCAGCAGCAAUCAAGGUAGAAAACCUAAUCGAAUAUCACAAAAAUAGGAACCCAUCUGUGAUGAGAAAACUUACAGAUCUCGGACUGCAAACUGAAAAUGCCUACAGGGCCAAGGCAAGUAAUAUAAAAUGAAGGGAAUUCAACGGGACUGGGAACAGGAGACCAUGUGUAUCAUCUACAGAGGCAGCUGCUGCUUCACUUCAUGCAGGAAUGUGGGCCUGGUGUUGCCAGAUUUUGUGCUUCUUUUCAAGAGACACUGGAAAUAAUCUCAUUAUUUCAUACUGACAAUUAAUUUUUAAAAAUUAAACACACCACUGAUC